AGUGAACGCUGGCGGUAGGCCUAACACAUGCAAGUCGAACGGCAGCACAGUAAGAGCUUGCUCUUACGGGUGGCGAGUGGCGGACGGGUGAGGAAUACAUCGGAAUCUACUUUUUCGUGGGGGAUCACGUAGGGAAACUUACGCUAAUACCGCAUACGACCUACGGGUGAAAGCAGGGGAUCUUCGGACCUUGCGCGAUUGAAUGAGCCGAUGUCGGAUUAGCUAGUUGGCGGGGUAAAGGCCCACCAAGGCGACGAUCCGUAGCUGGUCUGAGAGGAUGAUCGGCCACACUGGAACUGAGACACGGUCCAGACGCCUACGGGAGGCAGCAGUGGGGAAUAUUGGACAAUGGGCGCAAGCCUGAUCCAGCCAUACCGCGUGGGUGAAGAAGGCCUUCGGGUUGUAAAGCCCUUCUGUUGGGAAAGAAAAGCAGCAGGUUAAUACCCCGCUGUUCUGACGGUACCCAAAGAAUAAGCACCGGCUAACUUCGUG
rnacentral:rRNA from 1 species